GGCAGCGGCGAGACCAUGACCAGGAAGGUGGUUUCCCCAGGGCGAGGCUCAGCCAUUGCGCUGCGGGGGUGCUGACCCCAGCCAUUGCCCCGGAGGCGGGAAACUCGGCUGCGUCAUUGGUGGCAGCGGCCUGUUGUUGUUGUUUUUAUUUCACCGC